AAACUGCCUCGUACUCAAUCCUUGCUCGUACAAUAUUCAUAUUAUUAUUACUAUUGGAUAGAAAACACUCUCUAGUUUCUAAACCCGUUUGAAUUAUAUAUGUGAGUAAAACAGAACUCAAGUUGGAGCAAACUUCCUGUGAGGAAGUGAGAAAUCUGAAAUCAGGCAGGCUGUUCUGGGGUCAGUUUAUUAAUUUGCAUGUCUUAUAUUGGUCGAGAUGCACUGCAUACGCCUUCCCCUAGAUGUCAGCAAAUAGUGAGAAUUGGAAUGGAGUUGCUAGGCAGAUCUGAGGCCAUAUAAAUGGUCUUGGAACGUGGGGUGCAGUCUUUUCAACAUUCGCCAUGACGCAAGACAGACCUCAGGAUGGCAUUCUGGAAAGCUCCCGUUAUAGGCAUUAGAUAUAUCCGGCUCUGAUUUUAUUCGAUAUAGGUGUUAAAGACAUCAUGUUGUUAUUUUAAACCAAGUUAUAUCAGUUUAUAUCAGUAUAUUGCGAUUUUCGGAUAUUUGUUAGUGCUGGGUUAUAGUGAGUUGGACACGUCUUCGCCACAUGGCUAAUGUUUACUGCUAAUUCCAAAGUUGAAGGCGACAAUCUACAACCGAGCAACGAUUCCUCUGGACAAAGGACAACUUGCCCAAGAUUCUGAUGGGAGCUCAUCAAAAAGAUAGACUUCCACCCCUACCAAAGAACACCUCACCCAGAUCUACUAAUGACAAGAUUGCUGCAGAUAUAGAAUGCACCAUGUCAAUAAAGCAGCAUGCUCCAGCAGAAGAGGAAAUAUUAAAAAGGAUAAAAUUCAGGAGGGACGAGCACAUAAUAGAGAAGCUUCAGUGGAUCGACAAGAUACUUUGUGGCUUAACCAACAUGAGGAAUAGAGACCUGAAAACACUGUUGCCUCUUGCAAGUGGGUAUGUGAACAUCAUCAUGAAAGACACAGAUGAAACCAAUGUUCUUUUGAAGAACUCUUGAGGUGUCUGAUUCCAUUUUCACCUGAGGACAUGAACAUCAACCCAGACUUGUGGGAGUCAUUCAUCAAUCACCAAGGCAGUAAAAUUGUCCACAGAUUUUCAUGGGAAUACCGGUACUAUCAUUGUUUUUAAUGGUUUUUGUUUUUGUUUUUCAGAGCCAAAAUCACCCUCCCCUAAGUUUGCUGGGUAAGAAAUGUAACACAUACAGUACAUUGGUUAAAAUCCAUAUUUCAUUUUGCAGACGCUCUUACCCAGAGCAAAUAGGGUUAAGUGCCUUGCUCAAGGGCACAUCGGCAGAUGGUUUUACGUAGUCGGCUCAGGGAUUCACACCAGCAACCUUUCGGUUACUGUCCCAAUACUCUUAACCACUAGGCUACCUGCCACCCCUAAUUAUGUAUUUGCUAACUAAAGUUUAAUGGUCAAUUCCACCUUAACACAUUGCAGUUGUAAGCCUGUCCAGUUAGGACUCAGAAGGAAGGCAGGUCUAAAGGAGGUAGAGAAUGAAACUGGGGACCUACCUCCUUGGCUGAACCUGCUCUUGGAUGAGAACAGUUAGUACACAGUCAUUUUGAUUUGCAGUAUAACAAAUAUAUAAGGACUAUAUAAUGACACUUCAGUAUAAACGGCAUAUAAUGGUUUACUUGGGUCUGAAAGUCAGAUUGAAAUACUGAUAUUGACUAUUUACUUUCCACAACCACAUAUGAGAAGGAUCCUCAGAAGUGAGUAUCAGUGGCCAGUGUUUAAGACAUUAAUGAAACAUGAGAGUAGAAUAUAGAUAUUCAAUCUUGACAUAUUUUUUUCAGACCAAAGAACAGACAUGAUAUGCUGGAACGUGUCAGAACAAAGUUCAUCGAAAUCCAGAGAUCUAUGAACAAUCAGAUGUAGACAGACAUGUUUGAGAAGAAAAUACACAGAGAAGAGAGAAUGAAGACUCCCCUGGAUGCAUUGAUGACCUCAAGGAAGGAGACAAGUCUACCUAUGCUGCUCUCCUCACUAAAACAUGAGCUCAGGGAACCAAAAUCUGCACUUUUAUUUUGGCGAGUUUCAGUUCUAUGUUACCAACAUGUACAGUAGCCUACUAUGUCACUUGUUCAUGGGAAAUACAGUAAAUGUUGACAUUGGUUGUAUUUUAGUUUACUUUUAAAAUGUUUUCUUAGGUACAAAAUCCUGAAGAGCGAUGUCUCAGAACUGUCCGAUGACAGGGACUUUGAGUACAGGACCAUCCUGCAGAAGAUCGGCCAAUUCCACAACUUCUCUCACAAGAAGUUGCCCUACUCAAAGCUUCUCCAACCAGCCAUGCAAGAUGCUCUGAUGUUCCUCACUGAGAACGUCUUCCAGCUCCUACCCCGACAACUCAAGCACUGGUAUCAGUAUCUCAAACUGCCCUUUUAUGACGCCUCCUGACUCUUAAACUCAAGUCAUCCUCAGAGGGCUGCCAGCCAAUUGUUAUUUUAGUUUAAAUUAUAUUAAAUGUAAUUUGUUUCAGAAAUAUGGA